UACGUAGGGUCCGAGCGUUGUCCGGAAUUACUGGGCGUAAAGAGCUCGUAGGUGGUUUGUCGCGUUGUUCGUGAAAACUCACAGCUUAACUGUGGGCGUGCGGGCGAUACGGGCAGACUGGAGUACUGCAGGGGAGACUGGAAUUCCUGGUGUAGCGGUGGAAUGCGCAGAUAUCAGGAAGAACACCGGUGGCGAAGGCGGGUCUCUGGGCAGUAACUGACGCUGAGGAGCGAAAGCGUGGGGAGCGAACAGG
rnacentral:rRNA from 1 species